CAGAGACAAUAAACAACCUUUGGAAAAGCAAACAGGAGCCUAGAGUUAUCUACAGGCCACUGAGCACAAGGCUGGGACCAGAAGAACAGAGGGACAAGCAGCAAAUGUUGUUAUGAGCACAAGAAAAAAAAAACGAUGUGCUAGAAUGGAGGCGUCACAUGGAGCUGGGAGACGGCAGUGUCCAUCAGUCCCUGACACAGACUGGAUGUUGCACACAUCUGGACUGAUCCUGCAUGUAUUUUAAAGGUUCUGGACAAAGGAGUGUCUCUGAAUAUUACAAAGAAAUGUGACCUCUAGUCUCAAAAUAUGCAUUUUCAUCAUGAUCAAAGAAAUGUAUCUACUAAAUCAUGAAGCAAAGUAUCCACAAUGUGCCAGGCACUGAGUGAGACAGUAAAAACAUAUUAAUGAAUAAGGUCUGAGGCAGGCACUAGCUCUUCCACAGAUGAUGAAACUAAGGUCAGAAGAGCAAAAUGGUCUCAGAUAGAAGUACACACUGAACAAGAACUUGCCCAAGUUCACAAAAUAUAUAAGUUAAUAAGCCAAGUGAAAACCGCAUCUGGCCAUCUCCAAGACACUCUACCCUUCGAACCCAACAAUAUUCUCUCCCACACUGUACUACAUAAUUUGAUAUAUUAUCAGAAUAAA